GGAUUAGAUACCCUGGUAGUCCACGCCGUAAACGAUGUCUACUAGCCGUUGGGGUACUUGAUACCUUUGUGGCGCAGCUAACGCACUAAGUAGACCGCCUGGGGAGUACGGUCGCAAGAUUAAAACUCAAAUCAAUUGACGGGGGCCCGCACAAGCGGUGGAGCAUGUGGUUUAAUUCGAAGCAACGCGAAGAACCUUACCACUCCUUGACAUCCUGCGAACUUUCUAGAGAUAGAUUGGUGCCUUCGGGAGCGCAGUGACAGGUGCUGCAUGGCUGUCGUCAGCUCGUGCUG
rnacentral:rRNA from 1 species